rnacentral:rRNA from 1 species
AGUGAACGCUGGCGGUAGGCCUAACACAUGCAAGUCGAACGGCAGCACAGUAAGAGCUUGCUCUUACGGGUGGCGAGUGGCGGACGGGUGAGGAAUGCAUCGGAAUCUACUUUUUCGUGGGGGAUAACGUAGGGAAACUUACGCUAAUACCUCAUACGACCUACGGGUGAAAGCAGGGGAUCUUCGGACCUUGCGCGAUUGAAUGAGCCGAUGUCGGAUUAGCUAGUUGGCGGGGUAAAGGCCCACCAAGGCGACGAUCCGUAGCUGGUCUGAGUGGAUGAUCAGCCACACUGGAACUGAGACACGGUCCAGACUCCUACGGGAGGCAGCAGUGGGGAAUAUUGGACAAAGGGCGCAAGCCUGAUCCAGCCAUACCGCGUGGGUGAAGAAGGCCUUCGGGUUGUAAAGCCCUUUUGUUGGGAAAGAAAAGCAGCAGGUUAAUACCCCGCUGUUCUGACGGUACCCAAAGAAUAAGCACCGGCUAACUUCGUG